rnacentral:rRNA from 1 species
GUGAACGCUGGCGGUAGGCCUAACACAUGCAAGUCGAACGGCAGCACCGUAAGAGCUUGCUCUUACGGGUGGCGAGUGGCGGACGGGUGAGGAAUACAUCGGAAUCUACUUUUUCGUGGGGGAUAACGUAGGGAAACUUACGCUAAUACCGCAUACGACCUACGGGUGAAAGCAGGGGAUCUUCGGACCUUGCGCGAUUGAAUGAGCCGAUGUCGGAUUAGCUAGUUGGCGGGGUAAAGGCCCACCAAGGCGACGAUCCGUAGCUGGUCUGAGAGGAUGAUCAGCCACACUGGAACUGAGACACGGUCCAGACUCCUACGGGAGGCAGCAGUGGGGAAUAUUGGACAAUGGGCGCAAGCCUGAUCCAGCCAUACCGCGUGGGUGAAGAAGGCCUUCGGGUUGUAAAGCCCUUUUGUUGGGAAAGAAAAGCAGCAGGUUAAUACCCCGCUGUUCUGACGGUGCCCAAAGAAUAAGCACCGGCUAACUUCGUG